rnacentral:rRNA from 1 species
CCUACGGGAGGCAGCAGUGAGGAAUAUUGGUCAAUGGGCGGGAGCCUGAACCAGCCAAGUCGCGUGAGGGCAGACGGUCCUAUGGAUUGUCAACCUCUUUAGGCGGGGAGCAAUGCCGGGCACGCGUGCCCGGAGGGAGAGUACCCGCAGAAUAAGCAUCGGCUAACUCCGUGCCAGCAGCCGCGGUAAUACGGAGGAUGCGAGCGUUAGUCGGCUGUCUGGGGUUUAAAGGGUGCGUAGGCGGAUUUUUAAGGCAGCGUGAAAAUGUCCGGGCUAAACUCGGGCCGGCCGUUGACACUGGGGAUCGUGAGUGGGCGAGAAGUAUGCGUAAUUCGUGUUGUAGCGGUGAAAUGCA